GACGAACGUUGGCGGCGUGCUUAAUACAUGCAAGUCAACUGAAGCAGUGGUAGCAAUAUCGCUGUGGAGGUGGCGCACGGGUGAGUAACACGUAGGUAAUCUGCCUUCAGGUCUGGCAUAACUCCGGGAAACCGGGGCUAAUAGCAGAUGAUGCAGCGGCUCGACAUCGAGACAGUUGUUAAAGCUAUGGCGCCUGAAGAUGAGCCUGCGUCUGAUUAGCUAGUUGGCGGGGUAACGGCCCACCAAGGCAACGAUCAGUAGCUGGUCUGAGAGGAUGAUCAGCCACACUGGAACUGAGACACGGUCCAGACUCCUACGGGAGGCAGCAGUAAGGAAGAUUGCGCAAUGGGAGAAAUCCUGAAGCAGCAACGCCGCGUGAGGGACGAAGGGCUUUUGCUUGUAAACCUCUGUAGUGAGAGAAAAAAAUCCCAAUCUUUGGGACAUGAUGGUAUCUCAAAAGUAAGCCCCGGCUAACUACGUG
rnacentral:rRNA from 1 species